GAUGAACGCUGGCGGCGUGCCUAAUACAUGCAAGUCGAGCGAAUGGAUUAAGAGCUUGCUCUUAUGAAGUUAGCGGCGGACGGGUGAGUAACACGUGGGUAACCUGCCCAUAAGACUGGGAUAACUCCGGGAAACCGGGGCUAACACCGGAUAACAUUUUGAACCGCAUGGUUCGAAAUUGAAAGGCGGCUUCGGCUGUCACUUAUGGAUGGACCCGCGUCGCAUUAGCUAGUUGGGGAGGGAACGGCUCACCAAGGCAACGAUGCGUAGCCGAACUGGGAGGGUGAUCGGCCACACUGGGACGGGGACACGGCCCAGACUACUACAGGAGGCAGCAGUAGGGAAUCUUCCGCAAUGGACGAAAGUCUGACGGAGCAACGCCGCGUGAGUGAUGAAGGCUUUCGGGUCGUAAAACUCUGUUGUUAGGGAAGAACAAGUGCUAGUUGAAUAAGCUGGCACCUUGACGGUACCUAACCAGAAAGCCACGGCUAACUACGUGCCAGCCGCCGCAGUAA
rnacentral:rRNA from 1 species